GUCGCGCCUAGCUCUCUCUCGACCCAGUAGCAACCCUAGGCAACCCAGAGGAAUAACCCAGCAACAUCCCAUCCAUUACCAGCACCCAACCCAGAUUCCCUUGAUUCCUCUCCAUCAAAAAAGACAGAAGAUUCCUUUGCACUCUCCGAACUAGGUUUUCCCAGAACUGGAGUUCUUCGAUUUCAAGAGCUAGAGUCCGAAGUAUUCGGUAUUGUUAAUUGCAUGACUCCGAUUCGUCGUCGUUGUACUGUCUCCAACUCUGAAGCCGCCGCUGCUAAAUGACGCCAACAAUUUGGCUCAGGGUCAGGGUCUGCCAUCGAUGGAUCCUCGAGAUUGCUGCGCGGGGGGAGGGCCGUGAACGAGGUUGAGGAAAUGCAUGACGAUAACGAAACAGAGACAACCAAAAUGGAAAAUCGGCGACCGGCCAAAACAGAGGUGGGCAACGUCGGGGGACGCCGCUAAUCACAAGUCAAAGACGGGAGCUUUGACGGCAAAGCCUGAGCCUCUGCGUUUGGAAGCCUCUCCAAAUUCUGGAAAGUCUCUUCUUUUAAGUUGCAAGAAUGGAUUUUUGGUGUUUUCUGAUCGGGGUAUAGAAUGAUUGAACAGAGGGACGAGAAUUUGGGCAAUUGGGGAGUGGAGAUAUGGAAUCACUUGGCAUGGAUUUGCAAAGGCUUUCGCAAAAGCAUGGAGAGCCUCCUGCCUAGCUACUCAAGCUGAUCAAGCAAAGAUCGUCAUGCCUGCUGCAAAAACUUUCCUGUUGCAACCGACAGUUUUCAAACUCUGUACAUGUUGAGUGCAUGAGAGACCUUUUUGGAGCUGUCAGGAAGGAACAGAAAGAGGUGGUGGCAAGAAUAAAAGAUCUGAAAGGGGAAGAACGGGGAGUAGGGUCUGUGCUUGAUCAAAAGAAGGGAGCAGAAAUAGUUAAGGAGACGUUGGAGGAGCUAGGAGCACCCGAGAAAGCACAUCAUGCAGCUUGAUAAGGAACUCAGACACUGUUAGAACCCCUGGUUCUGCAACAAGGCGGUCAAGUUCUAUUGCAAAUAACCAAAGAGUAAGAAAUGAUACACAAAGGACUAUUCCAACUGCACUUGAUAUGGACGAGUUUUUUGCCCAAGUUGCUCUAUCUACUCUAUGGAUGCCUUCUAGGCUUUUGUCUUAGUUAGAUUAGGAUCAAGAUAUUAUGCUGAUAAUAACAAUGACAGUACUUGAAAUUGGCUAAUGUAAAAGCUAGCUUGCUAGUUUUGUAUUGUGGUACUGAUGAGAUUGUAUAUUGGUGCGUUAAUAGAUGCAAUGAGAAAUUUGCUGAUUUUAGGUCCUAUAA